rnacentral:pre_miRNA from 7 species
UGGCUGCUCAGUAGUCAGUGUAGGAUCUGUCCGACAGUCUCACUAACAGCUACAUCUGAUUACUGGGUCACCA